AGACGGGGGGAGCAAGCGUUGUUCGGAUUUACUGGGCGUAAAGGGCGUCUAGGCGGGUUCGUAAGUCAUGUGUGAAACCCCCCGGCUCAACCGGGGAUCUGCACGUGAUACUGCGGAUCUUGAGUGCGGAAGAGGAAAGCGGAAUUCCAGGUGUAGCGGUGAAAUGCGUAGAUAUCUGGAAGAACACCGGUGGCGAAGGCGGCUUUCUGGUCCGUUACUGACGCUGAAGCGCGAAAGUGUGGGGAGC
rnacentral:rRNA from 1 species